CAUUUCUGGAUCAACUGCUAUAGUUGUUCUUUGGAUGAAUGGGCAGAUAUUAGUUGGUAACCUGGGUGAUUCAAAAGCACUCGUAUGCUCGAGGAAAACUCAUUUUGAUCAGGAAAAUGAAGGUGAUUUGGUCACAACACUUCAAGCUAAGGAACUAACAAUGGAUCACCAUCCUGAUAGGGAUGAUGAAAAGGCUAGAAUUGAAGCAGCUGGAG
rnacentral:misc_RNA from 1 species